rnacentral:lncRNA from 1 species
CCACAGCUGAGAAUCAUUGCCUCUGUUAGUUGCUCUGCCCAUCUAAUUGAAAUAGAUUCUCUCAGGUGUCGCUGAAUAAGGACCAGGUUUACUUAAGCUCACCAUUUCUGUAGAAAUUUAGAUUCUGGUAACCACUAUCAGGAGAUCUGUAUUAGGUCAGUUCACUCAACCCUGGCUUUCCUAUUUCAGCUUCCUUUGCAACUCUGUCAGUGGAAGACAAGUUGGGGUAGACAGGGUACAAGGACAGCAUGGAAGAAAGAAAAAAAUGCAUCCCAUUUUUUGUUAUUUUCUCAACAGUCUCUGAAAGAAAAGAAAAAGAAGUGUAGCUCUCUGUAUCCGACAAAAUGGCGCAUAAUCAUCUGUGAAAAUUGGA